UAGGGAAUAUUGGGCAAUGGAGGGAACUCUGACCCAGCCAUGCCGCGUGCAGGAUGAAGGCGUUAUGCGUUGUAAACUGCUUUUAUAUAGGAAGAAAUAGUCCUUGCGAGGAAAGUUGACGGUACUAUAUGAAUAAGCACCGGCUAACUCCGUGCCAGCAGCCGCGGUAAUACGGAGGGUGCAAGCGUUGUCCGGAUUUAUUGGGUUUAAAGGGUGCGUAGGUGGCCCUGUAAGUCAGUGGUGAAAUAUCUCAGCUUAACUGAGAGGGUGCCAUUGAUACUGCAGGGCUUGAGUACAGAUGAGGUAGGCGGAAUUGACGGUGUAGCGGUGAAAUGCAUAGAUAUCGUCAAGAACACCGAUAGCGAAGGCAGCUUACCAAGCUGUAACUGACACUGAGGCACGAAAGUGUGGGGAUCAAACAGGAUUAGAUACCCCCGUAGUCCCUGAGCGGGCUGGCAAGGCGCAU
rnacentral:rRNA from 1 species